rnacentral:rRNA from 1 species
AACGUAGGAGACAAACGUUAUCCGGAGUUACUGGGCGUAAAGGGCGUGUAGGGGGUAUGUUAAGUCUGGCGUGAAAGCUCUCGGCUAAACCGGGAGAGGUCGUUGGAUACUGGCAAACUAGAGGAUGGUAGAGGCGUGUGGAAUUCCGGGUGUAGUGGUGAAAUGCGUAGAGAUCCGGAGGAACACCAGUGGCGAAGGCGACACGCUGGGCCAUACCUGACGCUAAAGCGCGACAGCAUGGGGAGCAAACGGG